rnacentral:rRNA from 1 species
AAAUUCUUAACGGCCGCGGCACUAAAACCGUGCAAAGGUAGCACAAUCACUUGUCCCUUAAAUGGGGACCCGUAUGAAAGGCAACAUGAGAGAAGACCUGUCUCCUAAGGCCAGCCAAUGAAAUUGAACUACCAGUACAAAAGCUGGUAUAUACAAGCAAGACAAAAAGACCCUAUGGAACUUUAACAAAUUAUUUACAUAACAUAAAUUAUAGUUUCAGUUGGGACAACUUUAGAGAAAAUUAACCUCGACCCAGUCACACUGAUUAACGAAACAAGCUACCCUAGGGAUAACAGCGCUACCUUCUCAAAGAGUCCAUAUCAACAAGAAGAUCUACGACCUCGAUGUUGGAUCAGGGUACCCAGACGGUGCAGCAGCUGUCAACGGUUCGUUUGUUCAACGAUUAACACCC